rnacentral:pre_miRNA from 1 species
GGUACACUGAAUUGCACCAGCUUAUUAUUCUGCUAUUGCACUUUUACUGUACC